rnacentral:rRNA from 1 species
GACGAACGCUGGCGGCGUGCCUAAUACAUGCAAGUUGAGCGCUGAAGGCUGGUACUUGUACCAACUGGAUGAGCAGCGAACGGGUGAGUAACGCGUGGGGAAUCUGCCUUUGAGCAGGGGACAACAUUUGGAAACGAAUGCUAAUACCGCAUAAAAACUUUAAACACAAGUUUUAAGUUUGAAAGAUGCAAUUGCAUCACUCAAAGAUGAUCCCGCGUUGUAUUAGCUAGUUGGUGAGGUAAAGGCUCACCAAGGCGAUGAUACAUAGCCGACCUGAGAGGGUGAUCGCCAACAUUGGGAGUGAGACACGGCCCACACUCCUACGGGAGGCAGCAGUAGGGAAUCUUCGGCAAUGGACGAAAGUCUGACCGAGCAACGCCGCGUGAGUGCAGAAGGUUUUCGGAUCGUAAAACUCUGUUGGUAGAGAAGAACGUUGGUGAGAGUGGAAAGCUCACCAAGUGACGGUAACUACCCAGAAAGGGACGGCUAACUACGUG